UGCAUGACGUUGACUCUGAUGGUUGCAUGUCAGCUUGUGUAUCAUCUCAGACUUGAUAACUGGAUGGUUCCUUUCAUUGCAGCAGUUGGAGGCAUUCUGACAGCAGAUUCUUCUCUGGGUUAGUUCAUUGGGCAGCUGACUCAUGGGGUUCAAUUGAAAUACCUGUAGUGGGACAGGCUUUCAUCAGACCAUUCAGGGAAGCACCACAUUGACCCUACUGCCAUCACCCGGCACGACGUCAUCGAGACCAACGGCGACAACUGCAUGAUGUCUCUGAUCGGCCUCAUCCCGCAGACCUUUCAUCCUCUUCAGCAGCUCCACGGAGACCAUCCAGCAGCACUACGCCUGGCACUGCUUCUUCCUCCUGCUCGCCAUCUUUGUCACACUGACCAACCAGUUCCACAAGUGGUCCCACACCUACUUUGGGCUUCCCGCCUGGG